UACGAAGGGUGCAAGCGUUAAUCGGAAUUACUGGGCGUAAAGAGCUCGUAGGUGGUUUGUCGCGUUGUUCGUGAAAACUCACAGCUUAACUGUGGGCGUGCGGGCGAUACGGGCAGACUUGAGUACUGCAGGGGAGACUGGAAUUCCUGGUGUAGCGGUGGAAUGCGCAGAUAUCAGGAGGAACACCGGUGGCGAAGGCGGGUCUCUGGGCAGUAACUGACGCUGAGGAGCGAAAGCGUGGGGAGCGAACAGG
rnacentral:rRNA from 1 species